rnacentral:rRNA from 1 species
ACGAGUUUGAUCCUGGCUCAGGAUGAACGCUAGCGGCAGGCCUAACACAUGCAAGUCGAGGGGUAGAGUUCUUCGGGACUUGAGACCGGCGCACGGGUGCGUAACGCGUAUGCAAUCUACCUUAUACAGGGGAAUAGCCCAGAGAAAUUUGGAUUAAUGCCCCAUAGUGUUAUCGAAUCGCAUGGUUUGAUAACUAAAGUUCCAACGGUAUAAGAUGAGCAUGCGUCCCAUUAGUUAGUUGGUAAGGUAACGGCUUACCAAGACAAUGAUGGGUAGGGGUCCUGAGAGGGAGAUCCCCCACACUGGUACUGAGACACGGACCAGACUCCUACGGGAGGCAGCAGUGAGGAACUAUUGGUCAAUGGGCGCAAGCCUGAACCAGCCAUGCCGCGUGCAGGAAGACGGUCCUAUGGAUUGUAAACUGUCUUUAUACAGGAAGAAACCCUCCCACGUGUGGGAGCUUGACGGUACUGUAGGAAUAAGGAUCGGCUAACUCCGUG